GUGAAGGUGGUAUAGUGGUGAACAUAGCUGCUUUCCAAGCAGUUGUCCCGGGUUUGAUUCCCAGCCAUCGCA